AGCUCACCUGCCCCAAACCCUCUGCGGGGCGGCUCCCUGCUGGCUGACUCCAGGCAUGUUCAGAAGCCACGUCCUUGGGGCAGCUGCAGGUCAGUGAGGGCCCCAGGCCUGGAAUGGCUGAGUUCUGCUGUGCUAAUGACAUAGCUGGCUCUGGGGUGGGCAGAAUAGCAGUUCCCAAAGAUGGGCCCGGUCCCAGGACCUCCUCACAUGGCAGAGGGACGCUGCAGAGGGGAUUAGAUCAAGGCCCCUGAGAUGGAGGUGACCCUGGGUUUCCGGGGACCCAGGGUUCUCACAAGGGUCCCUAUGAGAGGGGGGCAGGAGGUCAGGGUCAGAGAGAGAAGGGAAGGCGCCUGCUACCCUGCCCGCUGUGCAGAUGGGGCGCAGAGCCGAGGCUGUAGCGCCUCUAAAAACCGGAAGAGGUAGACGCAGUUCUCCCGAGCCCCGGAGAAGCCGGCUCUGCCCACGGGGAAUUAGGACUUUUGACCUCCAGAACUGUCACAGAAUGUUUCUGCCAUUCUAAGCCACUAAACCCGCGGCCUUUGUUAUGGUGUCCGUAGGGAGCUCCUGCAGGCACUGACGCCCGCGGGGUCCCAGAGUUCCCAUUUUGCAGACAAGCAAAGGGAGACUAGACCUGCCAGGACCGGAGGAGGCAAACCUGGCUUCCCGGCCAGGUCCCUGAUGGGCGGGGACAGGAGCGACAUGUCCAGGGAGCGGGAGAAUCCCGGGAGUCCGAACUGCUGGCAGAGCACCUGCUGUGCUGCCGAAGGCCAUGGAGGCCGUAAAGCAGGUCAGGGACCGGGCUGCAUCCUUCCAGCCCCCCGCGCCCGCCCGCGCCGCGCCGCGCCCCGCCCGGCAGCAGUCCCCGGAGGCCCCUCCCACCCGCGCGGUGCGGCGGCCGCGAGGGGUGCCGCAGACUCCGGGGUUCCGGCUGCACGCCAUGGGGAACUGAGCAGCCGCGCCUGCGCCCUGGCUCCAGAGCUGGGCCCCUCAGCCGUAGGACCCGAAGGUUGCCGGGACAACGAGUUUGCGUCAGCCACCUGGCGCGGCUCCCAGGCUCCCAACGCGGGGGGUGAAGAGGGGUCCUAGCCCUGAGCCAAUAGGAUUUCAGGGGGCCAAGCGUGAGGGGCGUGGCCGAGGCCAGCCCUCCAGCCAAUGGCAUUGUUGUUGUUAGGGCCACGCGAGGAGGACCGCACCCUUUUUAAAGGGACCGCGCCCAUUUCUCAGCGCUCUAUCCGCCCUCCGGUUUAGGGCAGAGUGACAAGGGCGGGGCCCUGGGUUGGGGGUACGCAGGCCGGGCCUCGUGUUUCGCAGUUGUUCACAGUAGGGCUGUGGGGACGGCUCAUCCAGAUCCUGUUGCUUUUCCGGGGGAACCCCUGCAUUUAUUCGGUGCCAGGGUGUGCACCUGGACCCCAUGCAGCACCCGCCUUCAGGGUCACCCACGCCCUGCGGCUUCAGGGCAAGCGUACCCCCAAGAAGGCCAUUCUGCAGGCCCGGGACCCGGCUCCCGCCCCUCUUCCCAGGGGGCCAGGGAAUAUCCCUUAACCCGGGCCCCUUCCCCCUUCCCCACCUGGAAACCAGCUUGUUUUCCCCCGGGUGUCCGGUCCAAUGUCCAGGCCCUCUGUGCCGACACCGGAAAGGAGAGGGGUGACGGCAAGGAUGUGGUCCCCACAGACUGGGAGGCAGUGGCCACAGGCAGUGUCCCCCCACCCUGGACGGGCCCUCCUCUCCACUCUCAGCUGGCCCAGCUCAGUGACAUCAGGGGUGAGCAGUGACAUGGGCUGACCCUGGGUGCAGGAGCAGUGGAAGUGACCCGCCAAACAGCCCGUCUGCGUCCUCCAUGUCCCUAGCCAGGGGUGGCCUGUGGGGUGAGGAGAUGCCUGUAGCCCAGGUCCUUGCCAAGGCUGCCCUCAAGGACCAGGGCUGGCAUGUGGAGGGGCUACAGGGCCCAGAGAUUUGGGAAGGAGAGGGACCAGUGAGCUGGGCAGGGUCCCUGGUCCAUGUCAGGCUUUGGGAUGUGGGUCCAGCUUCCCCCUGGUGGUCCCUCCUGUCCCUCCAUCCAGCCCCACCCUGCACCCCUGGACACACUGACCUGGAGUGUCCUUUGAUCCUCCUUCCCUGGCAACAUGAGAUGUCAUCUUAAGGGGAAACUGGGGGUGGGGGGUGUAUCUGGAAACUCUCAGUGCAAUUUUUGCAACUUUUCUGUGAGUAUAAAACUAGUUAGAAAUACAGUGAAAAAGAGAGCACACCUCUAGUGGUAAGUAAAUUCUGAACAUUGUCCCUGCCUCACUGACCCAUUGAAGAUGGCCUGCAGGUGCAGCAUGACCCUCCAAAGGCAUGACGCUCCAGCUAUUCUGGAAGCUUCCAGGGAGGCCAGGGCAAGGAGGGCUGGCUGUGGUCUGGAGGCCCUCCUGGUUGGCUGUCAGGUCUCCCCACUCCCCCAGGGCCCCCAGCCAGUGGGAAUCUCCCCACGUGUCCAGGAUUCUUUGGGAUUAGUGGAGGUACCAUUGGGGUGGGCUGUCUGUCUCCUGGGGGCCAGCAUGCUGCCCUGUCAGCUGUGAAAAUCAAGGACCCUGAGAUGGGGGUGGCCUUGGGUUCCCGGGGCCCAGCGUCCUCACAAAGGUCCCUAUGAGGGGAGCAGGAGGUCAGGGUCAGACAGACGGGAAGGCACGGCCCUGCCGGCUGUACAGACAGAGGAGGGGGCCCUGAGCCAAGGCUGUGGGGCCUCUAGAAGCUGGAAGAGGACACGGUUCUCCCGGGGACCCCGGAGGAGCUGGCCCUGCCCUCCUGGAUUUAGCCCCGUGAAACCCAUGUGGACAUCUGACCCCAGAACUGCGGGAGAGUAAAGUCAUGUGGUUUUAAGCCCCAGCAGCCCCGGCUGAUCCCCCCGGCUGAUAGUGACCCCGGCUUUCUAAUGCGGCUGUGACAGAACAGCUCUGCUCCGGGCAGCUUUUAGGGACUGGACUGACAGACGGGCACAUCCAUUUGAGAGAGGUGGUUUGGCUCCGCCCGCUCUGGACCUUUGCUCCAGGACUCCUACCGGUAUCCCUGAGCCUUCCUGGAUCUGGCCGGGUUGUCAGAACGUGGGGUGACCCCCAGAGCUGAGCCCAAGGAGCAGGAGAAAGAUCUCUCCCACAAGUGAGCCAGGUGGCAGGGAAGACCGUGGGGCCAACAGAAGCAGGGUGUGCAGGGCCCCUGGGCGCAUGAUGGUCCGGGACCUUACGGUGGUAUCCAAGCCAGCCCUGGGCCUGUCUUGCUGAGGGUCAGGACAGGGCCUGCUGCCCAGCAAGAGGGAGAAGUUUGUAGCAGCUCAGUAAGUCAGCGCCGGGAGUCCUGGCCUCGGGGGUGGGGUGGAGUUCAGGGGUGACCACCCGACUCCAUCUCCACUUUCCAACAAUGUGCUGGAGGGGUCCACGUGUCACCAGUGGGAAAUGCAGGCCAACCCUUAGCAUCUGAUGGAAACUUAGGCAGACUCCCGAGGCCUGGUGGGUUUGGGGGCAAGCCUCCCCCCUCAUCUGCUCAGGACAGACAGAGCUCACUCCUGGCUGUUUUCCAGGUCGGCCUUCCUGGGAGCAGAAUUCCCGUCAGGGACAUGAGGCCUGAGGCAGGGAGGGGCGGAGCAUGGCAGCUGGUUUUGUUUUUCAUCUGCUGUCUGGUUUGGAAAGAAGGGCAGAUGGCUCCAGAAAUAUCUAGGAACGCGCACCUUCCCCCACUCCCGGCGGGUGACCAGCGGAGGCAUAUGAGGAGGUCAGCAGAGGUGCUUUGUAAACAGUGGCUUUGAGACAGCAGGCCCAGCCAGGACUCUGCUUGUCGCCCAGGACGGCCAAGGGUGGGCGUGGCCCAGGCGGCCCACAGCCAGGACCCAGUGUGGUCCGUCCACGCACUGGAAAUGAUUCGGCCACAGGAAGGAGCGGAGCCCUGACAUGUGCCGCAGUGUGAACGGGCCCUGAAUGCACGGUGCUCAGUGAGCUGCCAGACACAGGCCACACGGCCCAUGACCCCAUUUCUGGCGAGCGUCCACAACAGGCGGAUCCACAGACAGAAACGGGAGAAUAGGAGGUAGUUGCUAAUGGACACAGCUUCCAGGCCGGUGAGAAUGUUUUGGAGCGAGAUACAGGGGAGGGCUGCACGGCUUUGUGAAUUCACCAAAUGCCAGCUGCACACUUCACAUGGGUUACUGAAUCUGGGAGAAUGAAGAGAAGGGAACCAGCGGGCAGUUAGUUCGCGAGAGUGUGCAGCCUGCAGAUGGGGAGCUGAGCGCUGGAGACGGUGCUUUUGAAAGAAUAUCAAUGACCAAAAACAACGCAUUUAAGGAAACACCUGCUUCUCACUCACAAGAGAUGUCAAGACGACCUGUGUGUGUUUUGCAAGAGAACUUGUGCCCAGAGGCGUCAGCAGGAACCCCAUAUCGUACCGUGUGCUGGACGGGGAAGCCCCUGACACUCAGUGCCAGGAACACACCCUAGAGCUUUUAAACCUCGUGGUGGUUCUGACCCAGAGGGACCCCGGGCCAUGUCUGGGGAAAUCUGUGGUUGUCACAAGUGGAGGAGCUCCUGGUGUCAAGUGGGUGGGGGCCAGAGAGGCUGCUCGAACCCCCACCGGGCCCAGGACAUCUCCCCACAGAGAGUGACCCACUGCCAGUGUCAGCAGUGCCAGGCGGAGCCCCUGGUCUGGAGAGACAGCCAGCAGGCACGGAGGCGCUCAGUCCUGCAGCCACACGGAGCUGAGUCCUGCCGACAGCCACGAGAGCGUGGAAGUGGACCUGUCCCCGGUUGAGUCCCCGGGUGAGACUGCGACCCUGGCUGACCUGUCCUGGAGUCUCAGCGUGGCAGGGCCGGGACUCCUGACCCACAGAAACCAGGCUAGCAAACCUGUGUUGUCCCAGUUGCUUUAUCUGUGAAAAGCUUGCACAGCAAUAGCGACUCAUACAGCGACUUCAUCAUUAAUGACUUCCAGCUAACACGGCAGCUCUUUAAGACAUGUACGUGCAAUCCCCAUCGUCCACACAGGAAGCCGGCAUUGGCACCAUGUCCAUUUCUUGUUAGGUUUGUCUGAACCUGCAGCCAGUACUCUCCCCUCAAAAUUCAGGCUGUUGCCUACCCCGGAGGCGUUCAGGAGAGGGCUUUCUGUGUUCCCAGUGGCAGAGUCAUGUCACCUUGGCAGGUCGUUCCCAGUUCUGCUGCCGCAUAAGCCCUGAUCGUUAGGUUUUCCCUUUUUUUGCGACACCACUGCCUGACUUCAGCUCUGAUUGCCAAGCCUCCCCUUCCAGGAGGGCUAUCUUGAAUGAGCAUGUUGAUGGCCGCAGGCCUAGAUAAAAAGCCACAGCCCCUACGGAGAUGUCUUUGUUUUAAAGAUCUUGGUUGGUUUGAUAACUGACCAUUUGGGCCGCUUGUCUUUUAUUUUCCCACGCUUUAUGUUCCCACACUUGUUUAAAAUUCACCAAUAAAGACCUGAGAAUCCCUAAGCCCCCACCCUGGGCCCCCAUAAAAGCUGAAGCAUAGGCUGGUGGGUGCUCCGCCCGUGACCUCACUGGGUAAUUUCAAGGUCCUUUAAGUAAUAAACCUUUACUUUCUCAGUUUAUCGAUGGUCAUUGCUGAUGGGUGUCUGGCAAUGAUAGUAAGGGCCACGAGGGCCGGUCCAGCCGCAUUGCUGGGGAUGGGCGGGCUGAGACCAUGAUGCACGACCGCAUUGGCUAAGGGCAGUGGUGUGUGCGAUUUUUACUAUUGUUUUAUGGUUUUUUGGAAUUUGACGUUUUUUUUUGUAUGGUCAAGUGUAUAAUCAAUUAAAAAAAUAAAAGAAAAUUUCACAAACACUUUCACGGUAGUCUGGCACAAAAGGGGCCUCUCUAGCUGAGUAAGAAAUUUUAAGAGUAGCCAGCAAAUAAACUUUAAUAAGGUAUAUAUACAUAUAUAUUAUUUUAAUGAUAUAAUUAAUUCGAUAUAUUAAUUUAUAAAUGAAUUGUAUUACAUUAGUAAAAUUAUAUAUGACUUUAUAAACAUCAAUAUUCAUAUAAGUUUGUAAUUAACACAUUGAUAAAUGUAGGUAUUACUAUAUCAGAAUAUUAAUGUUUUUUCAGUCCGCAAAAAAAUAACAUUAAAUGCUUAUUAAAUCACUUUACCUGUUCCCCUUGAAUUUCUACUCAGUUAGUGUAUUUCAGUACAUAAAGUUUUCUGACUAAUGUAUUUUCCCUAGAGAUAUAUUACUCAGAAAACUUGAUCAGGAUGAGCACACCCUAUUCUGUACAUACUAACACUGCAACUCCUGCUUUGGGGUACAGCCAACCUACUUUAAGCUGUUCUAUGCCUUUUUAUAACAGGUUUAUUGGGAUGUAACUCACACUUCACAGGAUUCUCCCGUGGACAGCGUGCAGCUCAAGGGUGUCUUCAGAGCUGUGAAACCAUCUAUCCGCGUUGUAAAACCGCUGUCUGUGUCCACUUGAAAAGAACAAAGUGUUACGGUUUUGAUUUU